rnacentral:rRNA from 1 species
AUUGAACGCUGGCGGCAGGCCUAACACAUGCAAGUCGAGCGAGUGGCGGACGGGUGAGGAAUGUCUGGGAAACUGCCUGAUGGAGGGGGAUAACUCCGGGAAACGGUAGCUAAUACCGCAUACCAUCGGAUGUGCCCAGCUGGGAUUAGCUGGUAGGUGGGGUAAAGGGUGACCAAGGCGACGAUCCCUAGCGGGUCUGAGAGGCUGACCAGCCACACUGGAACUGAGACACGGUCCAGAGUCCUACGGGAGGCAGCAGUGGGGAAGAUUGCACAAUGGGCGCAAGCCUGAUGCCGCCAUGCCGCGUGUAUGAAGAAGGCCUGCGGGUUGUAAAGUACUUUCAGCGGGGAGGCGUUACCCGCAGAAGAAGCACCGGCUAACUCCGUGCCAGCAGCCGCGGUAAUUC